CCUACGGGAGGCAGCAGUGGGGAAUAUUGCACAAUGGGGGAAACCCUGAUGCAGCGACGCCGCGUGAGUGAAGAAGUAUCUCGGUACGUAAAGCUCUGUCAGCAGGGAAGAAAAUGACGGUACCUGACCAAGAAGCCCCGGCUAACUACGUGCCAGCAGCCGCGGUAAUACGUAGGGGGCAAGCGUUAUCCGGAUUUACUGGGUGUAAAGGGAGCGUAGACGGCAGGGCAAGUCUGGAGUGAAAGGCGGGGGCUCAACCCCCGGACUGCUCUGGAAACUGUGAGGCUGGAGUGCAGGAGGGGUAAGUGGAAUUCCUAGUGUAGCGGUGAAAUGCGUAGAUAUUAGGAGGAACACCAGUGGCGAAGGCGGCUUACUGGACUGUAACUGACGUUGAGGCUCGAAAGCGUGGGGAGCAAACAGGAUUAGAUACCCUUGUAGUC
rnacentral:rRNA from 1 species